GUGUUACCGAAGGAGAUUAACAUUUGAGUCAGUGGGUUGGGAAAGGCAGGCCUACCCUUAAUCUGGGUGGGCACAAUCUAAUCAGCUGCCAGCAUGGCUAGAAUAAAAGCAAGCAGAAAAACGUGUAAAGAGAGACUGGCCUAGCCUCCCAGCCUACAUCUUUCUCCUGUGCUGGAUGCUUCCUGCCCUCGAACACUGGACUCUAGGUUCUUUGGUUUUGGAACUUGGACUGGCUCUCCUUGCUCCUCAGCCUGCAAACAGCCUAUUGUGGGACCUUAUGAUCACAUCAGAAUGCUCAUAUUGAUAAGUGGUAAUUCAAGAGGACAUUUGGCUUCUGGAUGUCAAAAGCUGCAAAAGGAACAUAUUUUGAAGUGCUUUCAAAAUGUUAGUAAUGAAACUCUCUGCCUUUCACCUUCAGCUUGCCACGAAGCCAACUGUAUUAUUCCAACUAACCAACUUCCUACAAGUCUUCACAGCUCACCCACACCCUCAACAAUCAUAAGAACACAACAGAUCCAGCCACAGAGCCCACAUAAGACCUUGUGGAGGCACAGAAAUUGGAGAUGACGUCUUCCUCCCAUAAACCUUCUUGACUUCUUUCACUGGCUACUUUUGAUCAACUACCUUCUCAAAAUAAGUACUUCUCAGCACUCUAGCAUCAACUCAGAGAAUAAACAGGAUUCCCAGGAGUGACUUGGUUCUGAAUGACUUGGAAGUCAAAAGGAAGAGUCCGUUUCUCCAGUAACAAAAGUAUGCCUGACAAGAGGCUCUAAGCUGUCCUGGAUGCCAAUCUUUGUGCCGACUACUUUACAGUGAUUGAUUGCUCAUACUUCACGGCAACCCUGUGGAAUAGAUAACAUCAUCAUCCCCCUUUUACUGAGGUGUGGGGAAGUUACCUCUAUUGCCCAUGAUCAUAGUUUAGCUGGCGCUGCUUUAUAAAAGAAUGAAUGAAUAAAUUAAUGAAUGAAUAAGUGUGUUGAGAUUAAUUUCUCAGACAUGGUCUAAAUGGACUCACUUCUCUCUAGUGAGUAUUGUUACCUCUUCAUGAUAAGAUGAAUCAUAGAACUGCCACAUUCUGAAAAGAGCAUGUGAGAAACCAUUCCUUCUUUCUCUGCCCCUCACUCCUUCCAAGUUGCAAGUGUCAGCACCUUUGCUUCAUUUGUGCUGUGCUUUGCAAGCACUCAGGGAGGAAAGGCUGGAGCAGGGAUUUUCCCACAAUCAGACCCUAAAGGCAACUAGAAAAUGCUCCCCACCCUUUUCUUUUUUUUUUUUUCAGGGAACCAGACUGACUGAUAUGAAUGAUGUUUGUUCAGGAAAAGUACUUAAGGAGACAAAAAGUGAUAUAGUUUUUGAAGGAGAGAUGUCUAGGGAGAGAGGGUAGGAAAUUCAGAGGAACUUCUUUUAGCCCUUAGAACAUUACCAGAGUUUUUGUUUGGGCUUUAUUUGUGCAUAUGCUUAUUUGUUUUUUGAGGUUUUUUGUUUGUUUGUUUUGCUUUUUUGAGACAGGGUCUCACUCUGUUGCCCAGACUGGAGUGCAGUGGCACAGUCAUGGCUCACUGCAGCCUCCCGGGCUCAAACAAUCCUCCCACCUCAGAAUCCUGGGUAUCUGAGACCACAGGGAUGUGCCACCAUGCCCAGAUAAUUUUAUUUUUUGUAGAGACCGGGUUUUGUCAUGUUGCCCAGGCUAGUCUUGAACUCCUGGGCUCAAAUGAUACUCUUUCUUAGCCUCAAAGGUGCUGGGAUUACAGGCAUGAGCCACCAGGACCAGCCUGCUUUUUAUUCCCAAAAGGCAGAAUCCAGUGUCUAAGACCUCACACGCUCUAAUUAAGUAAGUGCCAGAAAAGGGCAUUCCUUCCACCUGCACUCAGUAAGCUUUGCUAAGGUUGGUGCUUAAAGAAGACAUGAAAUCAUACUGGGUAGGAGGAUGGGAAGAGAAAUUCAUUACACAAAUGGCUAAUUAUGUAGGAAAUGCAAUGGAGCAAAACUAUCCACCCCCAAACUGGAUCAUGCAUGAUCUUUUGAGGUUAACGAAAGAAAUGCCAUGGCAGAAAUGAUGAAAAUCUGUAAGAAUAAAGUUCUUGAAGCCAAUCUUGUCAUUCUUGCUGCUUUCAUCUCCUUGAAAUUCGGCUUAUUAUUACUAGAAAAAUAUACCACAAGAUGAAGUUAUGUUCCAAAAAGAAAAAAAAAGCAUUGCCUAGAGCAGGAAUAUUAUUUUCCUUUAUGAUAUUUUACAUAUAUGUAGUUAAGUCAGCCCAGCAAUUAAUUAGAUCCAUGCAAAUGUUUGCCCUGUCCUUGUUAAAAGAUGACUGUGAUUUGGUUUUAAAUAUAUUUGUGUAAAAAUAUGUUUUCAUCUUUAACUGUUUAUUUGGAUGGGCUGCUGUGAGCAUCUAGUACACUCCAUGAUUUCCAUUGUGAUGGUGUUAUUACAUAUUGCACAACAAGCAGGUGUUGGUGAUAAUAACAUACUUGAAAGAACACCUAUAGUCUCACAGCAGGCAAGAAUUUGCAAUAGCACUGUAGGAAUAAAUAAGGAAGCCAAGAUGGUAGUUGCUAUCAACACUUGGAUUUGAACACUUGGGUUAAUG
rnacentral:lncRNA from 10 species